CUGCCUUCUGCCUACCUGUAUUUAUCAGCCAAAGUUCUGCAGCCCUUCUAUACAUCAAGUAGCAGUGAUUCAGGCAAGUAGUUUCACUGGCUUGAGCAUGGUUAUUCAGCUGAGUAAAUGGUGUGUGAUCUGAGUUCAAGGCAGUAGAUUUUGGGUGUGAGUGCUCUCUUUCUGUGGAGAAUGUGGGAAACUAAUUCCCAGAGCCUGGGAUCCUGGCAUGCCUUAAAUUCUCUCCUGUUCUUAUGCUUUGCCUCUAUCCAGUGGGUGGGCUGGAAGUGAGAUGGGAGGCUGGACUUCCACCCCCUUCACAGUAAGCAGCUCUUCCAGAGAAAUUCCGCAGCUGUUUCAGAGUCUGUCCAGAGUUGCCUGCUUGCCUUCCUGGUGCUAUUUUCUGCACAAAUAUGUUUGCUGCUGCUGCUGUGCUGGGCUCUGCGAAGAAAGGAGAGAAGCCGUUAGAACCAAUGUAACUCUGUAGUAUGGUCUGUCAAACCAGGUGGCAUUAGAGGAAACCCUUGCAGCCCUUCCCAGCACCAGCUACUUGUGGAGCAUCUCCCCACAUUCUGAUCCUGGGAGGGCAAGGGCUGGUCCAGCCACAGCAGAGUUGACUCCUGCCUCAAAGGCACCUCUUGGUGUGAGACCCAGUGGCCAAGCGCCAGCAGUGUGUGCUGAGGGACGCUGUGGAUGGUGAGGAAAGAUGCUGAAAUCUCUGGGAUGAGAUCACCUCCAGGGCUAGGGCUUGUGAAGGAGAGAGGAGCCCCAACAGCUUCCAUGCUUAGGGCUGAAUAAUAGUCCUUCAGCCCUCAGGGGGUAUUUCACCUCUUUCAGAUGCAAAUGACCUUGCUGUCCCCAUCCUCCUACUUCAGAAACUACCCUUUCAGAAUAACCUUCAGCUGUAAAUGAGUUUGUAAUUUGCCCCUUCCUGCUCCAAAUGCACAGAAACUGGGCAGUUACAGAGUUUAACUGCAGCAUGUGUUGUGCUGCUCGCAGGCUAGAUUAAGGUGAUGUUUCCUGGGACAUAGUGGAACAUUGAGACACCACUAAUCAAAUGCACCAUAGUUUUCAUCUGGUUUUAUUUUAUUUCAUUUUAACUUAGUUUCCCCAGGAAACAAGUGCUGUCUGUCUCCUGCCUCUUGCGUUUGGCCAGUUCCAACCAGAUUGCACCAAUGGUUGGCAGUCUUGAAGAUCAUUAGUUUCCCACUUGUUUUUGUACGGAUUAGUGCCUGGCUGGGCAAUCUUUGAAGCAAUGCUCUCUCUGAAGAGAAAGGAGACAGCUUUCACCUAGUCUCCAGUCUGACUGAUAGCAGCUGCCCAGCCAGGCAUUGCACGUGUGGUGGUGAUCAAACAGGCAGCAGCUUUGUAGCCCUUGCCACCUUGCAAGGUGUGUGUAGUCUCCAGGGGAGAAGGUUUGGGCAAUAUUGUAGGGAGCUGCAGUGGAGGGGUAGGGGGGCAGAGGACACAGAUCUCCAUCAGACGGGGCCUGUUUGUUAUUCCUCCUUGUGGUGCUGUUACCCUUUUAUUUGUCAAGCCACUUGAGAUUUAGGAAGGCUGGCAGGCUGACAGCCAUGGCUUGGAGCUUCCUUUCCUUGACCUCCAGGACACCUUGGGCUGAACGGAGAUGCUUGGGAGCCUGUUUUCUUCCUUUCGCCACGGUAGAUCUGUUAACGUCAGUGACUACAGCUUGAAGUAGCUUGCCCAGGAUUAACAACUCUCAGUGGCACCUCCGGUAAUGUUUCAUUGCCAUGCAAAAGGAGGAAAGCACUUUGUCAGCAGCCUACUUCAGGCAGAGAAAUUUAUAUCUGUGAGAAGCAUAUGUACAGAGCAGCAAUUACUCAGAUCAUCAAUAUUUAUACAGCAGAUAAUAGUCAUCAUGGACAAGAUGAAUAUUGUCACAACAGCAGUAGCUGCUUGGGGGGGGGGGAAUGUAAAAUAUAAUUGCUGGGUUUCUUUAAACAGGGUAAUUAUUUAACUUUCAAGUGAUUGGUGAAGAUAGCUUGAAGUCUGAAUUAGAUGUUCAAUGGGAGUUCAUCUGCUUCUAGGAAGUAAAGGAAAUGCCCUUCCUCUCUACCCUCAUGUCACAUGGUGAAAACUGCCUGGGAUGUCAUCCUUUACUCUAGUGGCUUUUGCUGAAGGCAAUGCUGGUGCCAGUUGCUGAAUGAGGAAUCAUAAGCGAUAACAAACAAAUCAA